GACUCGGUGGCGGACGGUCCGCGUCUGCUUUGUAUGAUAAUUUUUCCCAACGAUAUAUGCAGAAUACGCCUGUUCGAAUCAGGCCCGAGUCA